rnacentral:rRNA from 1 species
UACGUAGGGGGCAAGCGUUGUCCGGAAUUAUUGGGCGUAAAGCGCGCGCAGGCGGUCAUUUAAGUCUGGUGUUUAAUCCCGGGGCUCAACCCCGGAUCGCACUGGAAACUGGAUGACUUGAGUGCAGAAGAGGAGAGUGGAAUUCCACGUGUAGCGGUGAAAUGCGUAGAGAUCUGGAGGAACACCGGUGGCGAAGGCGGCAUCCUGGACCAACACUGACACUGAGGAGCGAAAGCCAGGGGAGCAAACGGG